CGAACGGUAACAGGAAGCAGCUUGCUGCUUUGCUGACGAGUGGCGGACGGGUGAGUAAUGUCUGGGAAACUGCCUGAUGGAGGGGGAUAACUACUGGAAACGGUAGCUAAUACCGCAUAACGUCGCAAGACCAAAGAGGGGGACCUUCGGGCCUCUUGCCAUCGGAUGUGCCCAGAUGGGAUUAGCUAGUAGGUGGGGUAACGGCUCACCUAGGCGACGAUCCCUAGCUGGUCUGAGAGGAUGACCAGCCACACUGGAACUGAGACACGGUCCAGACUCCUACGGGAGGCAGCAGUGGGGAAUAUUGCACAAUGGGCGCAAGCCUGAUGCAGCCAUGCCGCGUGUAUGAAGAAGGCCUUCGGGUUGUAAAGUACUUUCAGCGGGGAGGAAGGCGACAGGGUUAAUAACCCUGUCGAUUGACGUUACCCGCAGAAGAAGCACCGGCUAACUCCGUGCCAGCAGCCGCGGUAAUACGGAGGGUGCAAGCGUUAAUCGGAAUUACUGGGCGUAAAGCGCACGCAGGCGGUCUGUCAAGUCGGAUGUGAAAUCCCCGGGCUCAACCUGGGAACUGCAUUCGAAACUGGCAGGCUAGAGUCUUGUAGAGGGGGGUAGAAUUCCAGGUGUAGCGGUGAAAUGCGUAGAGAUCUGGAGGAAUACCGGUGGCGAAGGCGGCCCCCUGGACAAAGACUGACGCUCAGGUGCGAAAGCGUGGGGAGCAAACAGGAUUAG
rnacentral:rRNA from 1 species